rnacentral:rRNA from 1 species
AUGGAACCACAAACACGUGCGGCGGCGGCUGUGAUUCGAAUCGCUCAACGGUGCAGCACGUUGGCUUCUCCUCUCCUCGCAUCGAUAGCAAAACAGCAGUUUUAUCUUGUGGAAACUGAAGACAUCUACUAUACGCGUAUGGUUUUUCUUCGGAAUGUCAACUUGACGGGAGGAACAACGACAAGUCUUUGCAUGUGCUUCUCUCCCGUUCACCUCGCCAUUCCGCCAGAUAGGGCGGGCGAGAGUGAACGGCGACACACACGUGCAUGUGAGCCUCGUCUAGAGCCGGAGCCGACCACCACACAAUAA